AUGAGCUUCUGCCAGCUCCGCAGCAGCCUCUUGGCCCGCUUGGCCAGCUCCUCAUUCUUGGUUUUCUUGCGGACAUCAUUGAUGAGCUUCCCUAGUCGUGUCUCCUACAACCAAGAGAGUGACAUAUUUAUAGAGGGCCAGCUUCUUGGAUAUAGCUUGGGGUAUGAUAUGACCUGCCACACUGGGUAACAUGGAAAAACAGUCUGCAACCCUACUGACUGUUCAUGAGGAACAGCCCAGCUCCAGCACUUGGGGGGAGGUGUCAGCUAACCCCCAGGAGGUUGUUCCAUGUGACAUACCACAAGCAACCCAGUGACCAGAAGCUUGACCUUCAGGUUUCCUGCUGCUGCCCUGAUCUAUGCUGGCUGAAUCCUUUCAUGUUUUGAUUGUCUGUCACCUACCCACUGCCUAGGGACCAAAGAGCUGCCUCCUUACUGGAGGUUCUUGGGGAGGAUCCAUACUAAUAAAGAUACCAACAGAAUUCAAGUCCAGGUCCCUAUUAUCUUACUGGCUGUCACCUAAAAUGCUGCUUCUAGCGUCAGGAGUACAUUAUGUCCCUGGGUUCCCAGCCCUCUACCUACAAUACAAGCCUUAGAAUCCUGAUCAUAU